ACACAUGCAAGUCGAACGGCAGCACGGGGGCAACCCUGGUGGCGAGUGGCGAACGGGUGAGUAAUACAUCGGAACGUGUCCUGUAGUGGGGGAUAGCCCGGCGAAAGCCGGAUUAAUACCGCAUACGAUCUACGGAGGAAAGCGGGGGAUCUUCGGACCUCGCGCUGCAGGGGCGGCCGAUGGCAGAUUAGCUAGUUGGUGGGGUAAAGGCCUACCAAGGCGACGAUCUGUAGCUGGUCUGAGAGGACGACCAGCCACACUGGGACUGAGACACGGCCCAGACUCCUACGGGAGGCAGCAGUGGGGAAUUUUGGACAAUGGGGGCAACCCUGAUCCAGCAAUGCCGCGUGUGUGAAGAAGGCCUUCGGGUUGUAAAGCACUUUUGUCCGGAAAGAAAACUUCGUCCCUAAUAUGGAUGGAGGAUGACGG
rnacentral:rRNA from 1 species